GCUCAUGUAGCUCAGGGGUAGAGCACUCCCUUGGUAAGGGAGAGGUCGACGGUUCAAAUCCGUCCAUGAGCUCCA
rnacentral:tRNA from 1 species